CCUACGGGAGGCAGCAGUGGGGAAUAUUGGACAAUGGGCGAAAGCCUGAUCCAGCAAUGCCGCGUGAGUGAUGAAGGCCUUAGGGUUGUAAAGCUCUUUUACCAGGGAUGAUAAUGACAGUACCUGGAGAAUAAGCUCCGGCUAACUCCGUGCCAGCAGCCGCGGUAAUACGGAGGGAGCUAGCGUUGUUCGGAAUUACUGGGCGUAAAGCGUACGUAGGCGGUUAUUCAAGUCAGAGGUGAAAGCCUGGAGCUCAACUCCAGAACUGCCUUUGAAACUAGAUAGCUAGAAUCUUGGAGAGGUGAGUGGAAUUCCGAGUGUAGAGGUGAAAUUCGUAGAUAUUCGGAAGAACACCAGUGGCGAAGGCGACUCACUGGACAAGUAUUGACGCUGAGGUACGAAAGCGCGGGGAGCAAACAGGAUUAGAUACCCUGGUAGUCCACGCCGUAAACGAUGAUAACUAGCUGUUCGGGCUCUACGAGCUUGAGUGGCGCNGCUACGCAUAAGUUAUCCGUCCGUGGGAGGUACGGUCGCGAGAUUAAACUACAAGAAGUAGUACGGCGNGAGACGUGCGACGGACGACGACGAGGGAGGAGG
rnacentral:rRNA from 1 species